GAUUUCUGACGAACCGGAGUGGCCCGUUUUCAUUUCGGAAAUGAGUGCCGCUUUGAGUUUGUCAUCCUUCCAGAGAGCUGCGUCUACCGUUUACUCGGCCGGACGUAUGCGAUCUGGAUCUAUUACUUUGAAAAAAUUAGAGUGUUUAAAGCAGGCUUAUGCUGUGAAUACAUUAGCAUGGAAUAAUAAUUUAGGACUUCGGUCCUAUUUUGUUGGUUUCUAGGACAGAAGUAAUGAUUGAUAGGGACAGUUGGGGGUGCUAGUAUUCCGCGGCCAGAGGUGAAAUUCUUGGAUUCGCGGAAGACUAACUACUGCGAAAGCAUU
rnacentral:rRNA from 1 species